AGAGUUUGAUCCUGGCUCAGAUUGAACGCUGGCGGCAUGCCUUACACAUGCAAGUCGAACGGCAGCGCGGGGGCAACCCUGGCGGCGAGUGGCGAACGGGUGAGUAAUACAUCGGAACGUGUCCUGGAGUGGGGGAUAGCUCGGCGAAAGCCGGAUUAAUACCGCAUACGCUCUAUGGAGGAAAGCGGGGGAUCUUCGGACCUCGCGCUCAAGGGGCGGCCGAUGGCGGAUUAGCUAGUUGGUGGGGUAAAGGCCUACCAAGGCGACGAUCCGUAGCUGGUCUGAGAGGACGACCAGCCACACUGGGACUGAGACACGGCCCAGACUCCUACGGGAGGCAGCAGUGGGGAAUUUUGGACAAUGGGGGAAACCCUGAUCCAGCAAUGCCGCGUGUGUGAAGAAGGCCUUCGGGUUGUAAAGCACUUUUGUUCGGGAAGA
rnacentral:rRNA from 1 species